rnacentral:rRNA from 2 species
CACUGCCGAGAAAAGCCUCUAGAUAGAAAAUAGGUGCCCGUACCGCAAACCGACACAGGUAGUCAAGAUGAGAAUUCUAAGGUGAGCGAGCGAACUCUCGUUAAGGAACUCGGCAAAAUGACCCCGUAACUUCGGGAGAAGGGGUGCUCUUUAGGGUUAACGCCCAGAAGAGCCGCAGUGAAUAGGCCCAAGCGACUGUUUAUCAAAAACACAGGUCUCUGCUAAACCGUAAGGUGAUGUAUAGGGGCUGACGCCUGCCCGGUGCUGGAAGGUUAAGAGGAGUGGUUAGCUUCUGCGAAGCUACGAAUCGAAGCCCCAGUAAACGGCGGCCGUAACUAUAACGGUCCUAAGGUAGCGAAAUUCCUUGUCGGGUAAGUUCCGACCCGCACGAAAGGCGUAACGAUUUGGGCACUGUCUCAACGAGAGACUCGGUGAAAUCAUAGUACCUGUGAAGAUGCAGGUUACCCGCGACAGGACGGAAAGACCCCGUGGAGCUUUACUGUAGCCUGAUAUUGAAAUUCGGCACAGCUUGUACAGGAUAGGUAGGAGCCUUUGAAACGUGAGCGCUAGCUUACGUGGAGGCGCUGGUGGGAUACUACCCUAGCUGUGUUGGCUUUCUAACCCGCACCACUUAUCGUGGUGGGAGACAGUGUCAGGCGGGCAGUUUGACUGGGGCGGUCGCCUCCUAAAAGGUAACGGAGGCGCUCAAAGGUUCCCUCAGAAUGGUUGGAAAUCAUUCAUAGAGUGUAAAGGCAUAAGGGAGCUUGACUGCGAGACCUACAAGUCGAGCAGGGUCGAAAGACGGACUUAGUGAUCCGGUGGUUCCGCAUGGAAGGGCCAUCGCUCAACGGAUAAAAGCUACCCCGGGGAUAACAGGCUUAUCUCCCCCAAGAGUUCACAUCGACGGGGAGGUUUGGCACCUCGAUGUCGGCUCAUCGCAUCCUGGGGCUGUAGUCGGUCCCAAGGGUUGGGCUGUUCGCCCAUUAAAGCGGUACGCGAGCUGGGUUCAGAACGUCGUGAGACAGUUC